ensembl:lncRNA
CGUUAACCUGCUUUCCAUUGAGAGUCAAAGAUGUGAUCUGAAGUUGAGGCAACUUGGAAAGAACUUUGCCAUUAGUGACUCUAAGAAGCAAAGGCAUAUGGGGUCUAGUUUCCUGACCAGAGAUUGCUGUGAGCCCACUGCAUCGGGAGUUGGGGAAUCUUAGCCACUGGAUAAGCAGGGCCCUCUGAUGAUGGCUGGAGAUCUGGUCCCAGGGCAGCUCUCUGCAUGAUGCUUUACUACACAGGCCCUGUCCAUGGUGCUGCUCCACAUUCUCCAGGACCUGGGACCCUCUGCAUCCAGUACCUAGCUGGGGAAAUAUGUGGACAUUGAGGCAGAAGAGAGUGACCAAAAUGAACCCCAAAGUUCAAUCAAGAGUACUCAUCAUCCUUCCUCAUUAUAAUAAAUCUUGACCAGAAUAAUGGAGACCCUCGAGAAUAUAACAUUCUAAGCUGAA